GCGCUGGAAGGGUUAACGCCGGGCUCAGCGCUGCUCCCUCGCGGCGCUCCGAGUGCUGGGUGGAAUCCCAUUGCGCCUUCUCCGGCUCCACCAUUUCCUAAAAAGAGGCAAACCAACGGAACGCGAAGGAGCUUGGAUGUGCUCUGCAGAGGAGAAGCCAGAGUUGCCUUGUGUACCUAGAGGCCAAUCCCUGCAGAGAUGAGAAGAUAACGUAAUGGGGUGAUUUCCCCAAAACUGGAAAAAUAGUACUGUGAUAUGAGGUGAGUAGUCUCAUAGCUGAGUACUACGAGAAGUAAAACCUUUUCUUAUAAGAAUGCCACCUGAUCUUAAUGUUUUUUUUCUCUUUAUUUUGAGGGUGCAGAAUCAUUAACAUCUUCCAGAUUCCCUGGAGUUUCUUUUAUUACCACUUUUAAACAUACCUCAUAACAAGUACGUUUUGUUUCAUUGCUUGAAUAAAACGUAGACAAACAUGAAUCCAAAGGAUUUUUUACUCUGCACCACAUUUGCUUAAUUCUAGACAGAGCAGCCUUGAUGUUCUUUCUUGUGGAAGAGUUCAGCAGUUAAACUUGCUUCUUGUUAAAAUAAAUUGUUAAGACCCUAUUGUAAUUUUACUCCAUAAAUAGAAGCACAGCCUUUUUGCAAUAUAAUACAUGUCUUAUAUGCCUCGGUUGUGCUGUAGAAUCAUUAAACCAAUUAGAGACAUGUUUUUCCUGACUAUAAUUUCUCCGAGACUUGCAGCCUGUAAUUUAUGUGUAACUUUGUAUGUAGUAAGACAUUUGUGUGUUGGUUUUUUUCUGUCUUUCUCCGCAUCACUCUUAAAAAUAAAAUUGUCCCAGAUGCUGAAAUACAGUUUUUGAAAUAGGAACAUGCAGCUCUUGGUUUCUUUACAAAACAGCAGCCACUGCUGUAGUAAUAAGAUUUGUUUGUCCUGCUAGCCAGAAAUAGUUACAGUCACCAUUCAGACGCCUUCAGCUCUGUCAAAAUGCCACAGUUACUGUAAUUCUG